GUCCGGUGCGAUGCUCCUGCAGGAUCUCGAAGAACACCACGUAGAGCAGAGUACCCGAUGCCAGUCCCUACGAUGAGAAAAAAAAUUCUCACGGUGCGACAGUGGAGGAGGACUACGCUGGGCGUAGUCGUAGACCACGCGGAUGGACCACCACCGGUUGAUCUGGCCUGCAACGCCGAACGAUGCCGGACGCGGAGUAACGACGCCGAAGACGCGCCGGUGACUUUAAAGAGGUACCAGCAGAAGGGAUCACUGUGUGAGGCACCGUGCCGGGUGGAAUGCACGAGCGUGGAAUGAAGCAUCAAGAGGAUUCCUGAAACGUCGGACGCGACGACGUUCAGGAUUAUCUCGUGGUGGGGAAAAGCGGCGGAGGAGAUGUUUCGAUCAGGUUCGAUCAAUUUUAAUCGAUGAUCAAUACAAUCAUGUCGUUAGCAAUUCCACGAAUUCUGAGUUAACAUCGUUGGAUAUUAACCGGAAUUGAUCAAAGUGACCCUUUUGCAAAUCUACAUUUUCACCCCAAUUACGUACGUGACUCACGCGACGCGGCAUCAGAGGGAAGAGAGGGAAAGAGAGAAGGAGAGAGAGAGAGAAAGGGAGAGAGAGAGAGAGACAGAGAGAGAGAGAGAGAGAGAGAGUGAGCGAAAACUCGUAAGGAAGUAUUCGAACCUGGAAUGCAGUUAACGACGAUCGAAUAAUCGACCGGAAUGUCGGAUGAUGCUGUCGUAUCUCUUGCAUGCAAUUAUCUUCCCACGCGCGUUUUCCACGUUAUCGUCUAUUCCUCCGCGAGAAUCCCCCAGUGAGGGGAUCUCCCUGACGCGCUUUCACAAAUUGUCGCGCGUGUGCGAAAAGGGAGCUUAUUGCAGGCUCCGUAGAUUAGAGAUGACACUUCUGUUUAACAAGAGGCGUGUGUUUAAUUAAGAUACAUACCCGCGCUUAUCAAUGCGUUAUAUACCACGCAAUAUAUAGUUGAUAACUGAAUAAAAACUAUUUUUAUUUCAUCGUAUCUUUAAACAAGAUAAAACUCUGUAAAAAAACUACAACACAAAAAAUUACGAAGUAAAAAUUUUAUAUACUCAUAUUGCUAAUUAAAAAUAAAUUUUCACUGAUAUUAUUAAUAUCAUGUGCAAUUAAUAUACAUUCAGUUAUCAUAUAAAUUCAGUUUAAUAUGAAUUCAUUUAAGUGAUACGUAAUACAAAAUAGUUUAUUUGUAUUUUUCUUCUAUUUUAUCACUACUUUCUUCUAUUCUUAGAAGCAUUGGGAAGUACUAAAAGAUAUCGAAACGACGAAAAAUAUAAAUAGUAUAUUCGCGCGUUAUCGUAAUCGUAAAUCGUACUUUUCAGAAUCGCAAGUGUUGUUGGUUUAAGCGGUACAAAUAUUUCAUGCUUACUUUUAUUGCUUGCCUCAUUGCUCUUCUGUUUUAAAUCACUUAUCGUUUAAUAUUUUUCUGCGCCGUGGCCUUGCAAAAUUCCGUAACGUCACUUUUUUUUCGCUGAGACCAAAUAUGUAUUUCUGCGAAGAAUACUUAAAUGUGAAAUGUGCUGAGAAGGCAUUUAUCUCUACGAAAUCAAAUAUUCACGUUUGCGAAUUUUCGAUUUCAAAGAUAAGGAAUUUCUAACUUCGUAAAACGGCUUUUCCGUCGCGUCUCUUCUUUCAAUUCACUCAUUUCGCGCACAGAUUCAUCGGAACUGUCGGAACCUUUGUCGGCUCCUGCGAUACUCCCACACGCUUAUUUCACGCAGUUUCUUUCCAUUCUUUAAACAACCGUAAUUGCGUCGAAUUUGAAUAUCUGACGUAAUCGCAUCAGGAAAGCAGCAUCUGUCGAUGAUAUUCCGUGCAUCGUAAAACAUAACGCAUUAUCAUUCCGUUGUAUUUGAUAAAGUGCACACGUUUUAUUGUGUGCAAAUAAAUUGAGCAUUAAGAUGCAAUUAAUUUACAUAUUUUUCACAAGCCAUUUACAAAGGAUCUCGAUCGUGGGCGACCGAACGACGCGAUUCAUCAUCGCCGCCGUUAUUUUCGCUGUCCAACGUUCGUGACGAAAAUGAAGGAUACCGUAAAAUCGUCGCCGCAUAUAUUUCGUUUGUUACGCGAGUAUUUACAUUCCCAAUAUAACUUGAACUACUAACGGUGACUAAGGAGAUGUCAUGGACCACGUUUAGAAUUCAUAAAGAAUCCGUUUUUACGCGCCUCCGCGCGUUUUGUUACAUUUUUUGUUCACAAAAUCACGAAGAGUAUGAGUCACUUCUGUUAUUUUUUCUUUUAUUUUAGUCAAGUAAAUUUGUUUAUUUUAAAGUGAAGAGGUAUUUAAUGUAAACCGUGCGUCUUAUUACAAUUCCUUAUAGUUUUAUUGGAAAAGGAGAAAUGCAUUUUAUCUGAAAUCUAAAUAUCUAAAACAAAAAUAUAAAUUUCUUUGAAAAAACAUACAUUGAAAUUAUGUUAGUUUUGUUUUACACUGCGCUUGAAACAUCUCUUCCUCCAAAAGUGGGCGUCAAUUAUUGAAAAUUUUUGCAUUAUCUUUGUAUUAUUUCGAGUUCAUUUAUAGUCUUAUCAGGAGUGUCUUUGUGUGAAUGUAUGGGCGACAAUAAAUAUAUUUCUAUCAAAAGCAUCGUUAAACGAUAAAAGAAACAGCAUUGUUAGACGAUAAAAGGAAACGUCGUUAGACGUCUGAAAUUAGAUAAAACGUUAUGUGAGAAGUGUGUGUCGACAAAACAGUUUCUUCGUGUGUAAUUGUUUUCUCCGUUCCUUUUAUAAGAAUUUCCACUACGCUACGUUGUGACGGAAACGAAAUUCAGGUGUACUUAGCUUUCACCGGGACGUCGAGAAAACGGAGUUGCGGCGAGAUCUCGAACGCCGUUGCCCGUUCGACGGGACAUGCGAAAAGAGUUCUCGCGCGAAAUUGCGAAGAGUUCAAUGCCAAUGAACUAUUCGUUUGUUUUUUUAUCGCGCCACUUCGAUCACACGUAUAUUAUCACGCGGAGCCGACGAUUACGAUCGCUUGCCAAACAAUAUGCUUGUUUGUCCAUUUGUACAUGAUUGAUACUGCAGUGCGCUCUUUCUGUGCCAUCUGCGGCCAUGGUGGCCAGAUAGCCAGAGAUAAAGUGACGUUAAAUAUUAAUCACUCGUCAAUACGAGCAAAAAACAAAGAUUGCGUUCCACCAGACCUAUUUUUCUUAUUCAUCGAUAUCAGAUAUUAUCUCGACGAAAAUCGUAUUUAUACCGUUCUCGUCUUGGUUUAGGAAUGCAUAAUUAGGUUUGUAAUCGCGGCGGUUAGAUCUUCCUUGUUGCUAACCGGAGCUAUUCGAUGCUCGACUAACUUGAAAUCUAAUUGUAUAAUACCGCAAUGAUCUUCCUUUUUAAGAUGAAAAUUUUUUCACUAUUGGUACAUAUAAGAGCUUUCGAAAGAAUUUGUGGAAUCCGUUUAAUUAUUAUUCAUUCAAAUUAAAAAGAAAGCUUAAAUGAAGAAACGCGAAAAAAAUAGUUCUGUUUGAUAAAAACAAAUUGUCAGCGGGAUUACCGCUGGAAAGUACAUCAUCAUAAGCGUACUCGUGGUAUGUACCAGAUCGUACACAGUAUGACACAUUUGCAGAAAUUAUGAUAAACAGAGAUAAUGAUAAAGCGCUGGUUUUUUCCAGCGAAUAUGCCUUUUGAAUUAAAUAAAAUAAGUAAUUUUAUAUUUCAAGACGAAGAACUUUGAUAAAUUGUAUACAGAAAAUCCAUUAAAGGGAUUAAUGCUAUGAUAAUUGCACUGGGAAAUAAAAAAGAUAAAGUAUCAACUA